UACGUAGGGGGCAAGCGUUGUCCGGAAUUAUUGGGCGUAAAGAGCGUGUAGGCGGCCCGAUAAGUCGGCUGUGAAAGUCAGGGGCUCAACCCUUGGAAGCCGGCCGAUACUGUCGGACUAGAGUCCGGAAGAGGCGAGUGGAAUUCCCGGUGUAGCGGUGAAAUGCGCAGAUAUCGGGAGGAACACCAAUGGCGAAGGCAGCUCGCUGGGACGGUACUGACGCUGAGGCGCGAAAGCGUGGGGAGCAAACAGG
rnacentral:rRNA from 1 species